rnacentral:rRNA from 1 species
UACGUAGGUGGCAAGCGUUGUCCGGAAUUACUGGGCGUAAAGAGCGCGCAGGCGGCUGGUCAAGUCCGAUGUGAAAGCUCCCGGCUUAACUGGGAAAUUGCAUCGGAAAACUGAUCGGCUUGAAGGUGGGAGAGGGUAGUGGAAUUCCCGGUGUAGUGGUGAAAUGCGUAGAUAUCGGGAGGAACACCAGUGGCGAAGGCGACUACCUGCCCACUCUUGACGCUGAGGCGCGAAAGCUAAGGGGAGCGAACGGGG